rnacentral:rRNA from 1 species
GAUGAACGCUAGCGGCAGGCUUAAUACAUGCAAGUCGAGGGGCAUCAAGGUACAUGAAAGUGUAUUGUUGGCGACCGGCGGACGGGUGAGUAAUAGGUAGGUAACCUACCUCAUACUGAGGCAUAGCUGGGAGAAAUUCCAGGUAAUUCCUCAUGAGGUUAUAUGACACAUGUGAUAUAAUCAAAGGUAUCGCAAGGUACUGGUAUGAGAUGGGCUUACUGACCAUUAGCUAGUUGGUGAGAUAAAAGCUCACCAAGGCGAAGAUGGUUAGGGGUUUUGAGAGAGAGAUCCCCCACAUUGGAACUGAGAUACGGUCCAGACUCCUACGGGAGGCAGCAGUAGGGAAUAUUGGGCAAUGGGCGGAAGCCUGACCCAGCCAUGCCGCGUGAAGGAAGACGGCCUUAUGGGUUGUAAACUUCUUUACUAUGCGACUAACUAGAUUUACGAGAUAAUUCUAUAGAAUGUAGCAUAGCAAAAAGCACCGG